GAGUUUGAUCAUGGCUCAGGAUGAACGCUAGCGGCAGGCCUAAUACAUGCAAGUCGAACGGUAAGCGCCCCUCGGGGCGCGAGAGUGGCGCACGGGUGCGUAACGCGUAUGCAACCUGCCCCCGUCAGCGGUAUAGCCCGGAGAAAUCCGAAUUAAUACCGCAUGGUCCCCUGGUCCGGCAUCGGGCUCGGGGUAAAGCCGAGGCGGACGGGGAUGGGCAUGCGUGCCAUUAGAUAGUUGGCGGGGUAAUGGCCCACCAAGUCAGCGAUGGCUAGGGGAUCUGAGAGGACGGUCCCCCACACUGGUACUGAGACACGGACCAGACUCCUACGGGAGGCAGCAGUAAGGGAUAUUGGUCAAUGGGCGGGAGCCUGAACCAGCCAUGCCGCGUGAGGGAAUGA
rnacentral:rRNA from 1 species